rnacentral:rRNA from 1 species
GACGAACGCUGGCGGCGUGCCUAAUACAUGCAAGUCGACCUUAGUGGCGGACGGGUGAGUAAUGCCUAGGAAUCUGCCUGGUAGUGGGGGAUAACACUUGGAAACAGGUGCUAAUACCGCAUACUGAUGGAUGGACCCGCGGUGCAUGAGCUAGUUGGUGAGGUAACGGCUAACCAAGGCGACGAUCCGUAACUGGUCUGAGAGGAGGAUCAGUCACACUGGAACUGAGACACGGUCCAGACUCCUACGGGAGGCAGCAGUGGGGAAUAUUGGACAAUGGGCGAAAGCCUGAUCCAGCCAUGCCGCGUGUGUGAAGAAGGUCUUCGGAUUGUAAAGCACUUUAAGUUGGGAGGCGUUACCAACAGAAUAAGCACCGGCUAACUUCGUGCCAGCAGCCGCGGUAAUAC